CAUCGUUUGACGCGGCGUGAAUGAUGGUCGUCCAUAAAACUUAACAGACGCACCGUCGUCGCCGCGUUCGGAAUUGGAAACGCGGUGGAACCGCUCCGGGCAAAUGUCGACAAGGCACAUGGGCGGACAAUGUCUUUAAAGCGUCAUGGCCAUGUCCAUUGUCAUGCUGGAGAAGGACCAGAGUUUCCUGGAAACACUGGCGAAGCGACCCAACUGUUGUGAGAGCACAGCGGAGCUCGCCAUCUGACCCAAAUGAAACUCGAUCGUCAGUCUGUUCACGAGGCAGCGGGGAGGACCGAGCCGAGGCCCAUCAAUCAGCCGAGAGGACGCUCGGGUCUGCGCGUGUCCGAGACGUUGGGACGUUUGCCACGGUGGCUUUUGAGAGCUUGUCGUUCGACGUGUCCGUGUUAUGACUGCGCUUGUGACGUGAUGAAUCGCUCGCUAGCCGCUAAACAGCAACGAUGUUUCAAAAUGUCAUCCACCACACUCGAUCCGUUUAAACGGACCACUUCGAAACACCACGGCGAGCCCCGGCGACCGGAGAAGGUGAAAAAGCAAAUGUGGUUUAUUGGGAAAGGGUGGGGGGGGUUGGUGACAAAAGUGGACUGGAUUUCUCUGGGACCGUGGCCAAAGGAGGUCCGGUUUUUCCUCUGGCGCAAGGUCGUUUAAACUAAACCAACCAUUCCUUUUAAAUCCCGUAUGGCAUGGGCCGCGGCCUAAUGUCUGACAGAAGGAACGUUGCUUUGCAUGUAGCCUGAUUAUUAUCUACUACACAAAUUGCAAGCAGCUGGCUUGUUCACGGCUGACGGUCCCAAAGUUUACGUCUCGCAACGUGGAAUGUGGACAAUUACCACUUUCACUUUCUCACAAAGAACUCUAAUGCGGUUUACAUAAACGAGCGGCCCGCAAAUCAGACUCCAGGGGGCGUCGCCAGCCUCCGGCGCUCAGCUCAGGACGACAAAGGAUUUUGCUUUAGCGCUCUUGUUACAAGCGUAGCCAGAGGUGAACCCAUCCAUCAAGGAUGGCACCGCCGUUGUUUUACCGUGACUCUUCAGCUGCCUGCCUGUUCUCUCGGCCUCUGUUGUGAUUUAGAGGUCACCGAAAGAGGAAACCGCACAGAGGUUAGCCAGCAAACAGUUGGACUCCCCAAAAAUUUAGGGAGUUUUUGCUGCCCAUCAUAAUCUGAUUUGUCACAGUCUAAGUUAUGUUCCGCGUGAGUUAUGCUGCGUCUCGGCGAAACGAGACCAAAUGUGGUAGUGGAGAAGGGAGACUUCACUAUACGCUCUCUGCUUUCACUAUAGUCAGCCAUGUUGUUUUUCUACGUAUUAUUGCGACACAGGGGCUCCCACGCUUACCACGUUUAAAGUCAUAA